rnacentral:rRNA from 1 species
GGAUGAACGCUAGCGGCAGGCCUAACACAUGCAAGUCGAGGGAGAAGCCUUUCGGGGCAGAAACCGGCGCACGGGUGCGUAACGCGUAUGCAACCUACCUUUCACAGGGGGAUAGCCCGAAGAAAUUUGGAUUAAUACCCCAUAAUAUUGUUGGAUGGCAUCAUCUGAUAAUUAAAACUGCGGUGGGGAAAAUUGGGCAUGCGUCCUAUUAGCUAGUUGGAGUGGUAACGGCACCCCAAGGCUACGAUAGGUAGGGGUCCUGAGAGGGAGAUCCCCCACACUGGUACUGAGACAGGGACCAGACUCCUACGGGAGGCAGCAGUGAGGAAUAUUGGUCAAUGGUCGGAAGACUGAACCAGCCAUGCCGCGUGCAGGAAGAAUGCCUUAUGGGUUGUAAACUGCUUUUAUAUGGGAAGAAUAAGGUGUACGUGUACAUUGAUGACGGUACCAUAUGAAUAAGCAUCGGCUAACUCCGUG